rnacentral:lncRNA from 1 species
CUGAGCGCGACCAAGGUCUCCACUUCACAGAUGCGGAAACUGAGGCCCGCGGGCCCUCAUCUGUGAGACUUGCCUGCCUGGGGCAUAGGCCGUGGCUCAGUCUGGAGUGAGGGUCCCUGGCUGGAAGACCCCUUUGCCUAGGGCCAUUUGGGGUCCGGACCCCCAAUUGCUCGUCUCCCUCUCUUUUCCGCAGCAAGCGGGCUCAGAGAGGCCUGGUUAUCCUGGCGCCACCCAACAAGUCUGGCAGUCAAGCUAGAUCUGUCCACGCUGUUGGUCUCUCUCCAGUCCUGGCCCCUGCGGUGGCCAGAGGCGGUGCCCGCGUCUGAGCCCGGGCGCCCCGGCUGGCCGGCGGGGUGUGCCCACCGGCUGGCUGCCUCUGUGCUGAGGACAGGACGAAUGGACUCUAAAAAUAGCCUGGGAGGAGGCGAGGGCUAUUUUUAGCCUACGUGGCUCGGGCCCUCCCAGUUCCCGGGUCAGCAGCCCUCGGGCCAUGGCAGUGAGGGGGGUGAGGGACUCCAGUUUCCAGGAUCCCUACGGCUCCUGGGCAUCCCGACCCCUCUAAGUCCCUUGAUCGCCCACCAGGGAAGCCUCUUCUGCGCACAGCCAGUCCUAUGUGUACCGGCUGGGAAGAAAUUGGACCUACAGCGGGGAAGGGGGGAGCGGGGGUGGGGUGGGGAGGGGUUGCCCGAGGCCACCUUUCUUGAAGCCCCACCCCCUUCUCGAGCUGCCCUAGCCUUUUGUUAGGCGAGGAGGCUGCUUUCUAUUUUGGGAAGGUGUUGGAAUAAAUUCCCUGGCUAAAAAUAGCCGGUUUGGGGAUUCCUCCACCCAGGCUAGCCGCCCCGCCUCUCCUCCUCCUCUUCCUCCUCCUGGCUGACCCAAGGCUCGCCUGGAUUUUAAAGGGCAGACGGGGACACAUAGCCCGCAGGAAUGUGUGUGUGUGUGUGUGUGUGUGUGUGUGUGUGUGUGUGUGUGUGUUGGGGAGGGGUCCUCCCCUGGGGCAAACCUGGAUUGGAGAGGACCCUCCUUCCACACUCCGCACCCCCCUCCCGUUUCCUGGUUGUGGGGGAGGGGCCUCUCAAGGGCGUUCCCACGUUCCAGGACCUCAUGAUGACUUCGGCUCCUCCAGGGAAUCCAGGAUCAUUCCCAUCUCAAAGAAUCUUUAAUUUAAUCCCAUCAGCAAAGUCUGGAAAAUAGUCUGGCAAUAGAAUAGGACAUCUUGGCAGAGAGGGGGCUUAUUAAGCCUAUCACAGUUAUCUGUCUUUGGCCAGACUCUGCUGGGUGCUGGACAACAAGACACAAAAGCUGGCAGAUGCUUGCUCUGGUGGAUCACCAGGAUCCAUGGCAACAUCCAUCAGGUGGUCACAAUGUUGAACACGUGAUUAUAAAUAGGCUUGCCAGAUAAAAUACAAGACACCUGGUUAAAUUUGGCAUUAUGGAUAAGCAACAUUUUUUUCAUAUAAUACUAGUAUAUUUAAUAAAGUACUUGGGACAUAUUUAGUGAAGGCUAUGGUUUUUCCUAUUGCUACUGUAAUGUCACCACAAACAACACAGAUAUAUUCUCUUAGAGUCCUGGAGGUCAGGAGUUGGAAGUCCCUCUUACUGGACUAAAAUCAAGGUUUCCGCAAGGCCAGCCACGUGUCUUCUGGAGGCUCUCAGGAGGAUCCAUUUUCUUGCCUUUCUCAGCUUCUAGAAAGGGUCCCAUCUCUCCUUCAUAGCCCUGGAACACAUGCUCUUUCUAUUACUUCAGGCAUCAUAUCACCUUCUCUGAGUCACC